AUUGAACGCUGGCGGCAGGCCUAACACAUGCAAGUCGAACGGUAACAGGAAGAAGCUUGCUUCUUUGCUGACGAGUGGCGGACGGGUGAGUAAUGUCUGGGAAACUGCCUGAUGGAGGGGGAUAACUACUGGAAACGGUAGCUAAUACCGCAUAACGUCGCAAGACCAAAGAGGGGGACCUUCGGGCCUCUUGCCAUCGGAUGUGCCCAGAUGGGAUUAGCUAGUAGGUGGGGUAACGGCUCACCUAGGCGACGAUCCCUAGCUGGUCUGAGAGGAUGACCACCCACACUGGAAUUGAGCCAGGGCCCAACCCCCUAGGGGGGGAAGGAGUGGGAAAUAUUGCCCAAGGGGGGCAAGCCGGAGGCAGCCAGGCCGGGUGUAUGAAGAAGGCCUUCGGGUUGUAAAGUACUUUCAGGGGGGAGGAAGGGAGUAAAGUUAAUACCUUUGCUCAUUGACGUUCCCCGCAGAAGAAGCACCGGCUAACCCCGU
rnacentral:rRNA from 1 species